rnacentral:lncRNA from 1 species
ACGCUGGGGGUCACAAUUUCCCCCGCUUGGUCAUCCGAAGGUUAAACAAGUGGCAUAUUAGCAAGAUCGGGCUGUAACUGAUUGGUACUGCUGGAUCUUUCCCAAGUUUCAUCAAGGCGAUCUUCGCCUUGCUCCACCAAUUGGGAUAUCCACUAGUGCUUUGCCAUCUUUUCGGUUUUCCUGUUUCUCAAUAAUUUGUGCUCUACUUGAUUGUCAUUUACGUUUGGGACGAAUUUUUUUUUUUUGUAGAGAGUCACCCUUAUUUGUUCACCAAAUUCCAAGCAAUCUUGCUACUGUGUGUCAUGUCGAGUUGAUCCAGUUUUUCUUCCCAUUUCUUUUGUCUGGACUGAGUUCUUCAAGCAACUGCUAUUGAACCGCAGUUGAUUGUGUCUUCACUAAAUUGAUCUUUUUCUUGAUUUGUGAUGGCACUUAUCGCAGCAAUGUAAGGUAAACUGAACAUAGUGAACUGAUCCUCAACGAUAGCAGAAGCAACUUUUUCAAGUGAAAGCAACAACAGUGUCUACGGGAAAGUGCCAUACAAGCCUUAUAUGUAUGUAUAUAAUAAUAUCGUAAAAUUUAUCACAACUUAUUCUUUGUUAAAGUUUCAAAUGUUUUACAGUGUAGUUUCGCCAAAAAAGGGUAUACUGAAUGUGUAUAAAUUGUUGCGUCAUACAUAUAUUUUUUUAGUUUUUCCACAGGUUAUUUUAAGCCUAAGUACAGCGACUAAAUUGUAGAAGGUUUCCCUCAGAUUAAUUCGCCCUUGCGCAGAUUUAGACGUUACCUGUCCAAACUAUUGCGCAUGCGCUCACGCUUAAGAAAUACGAAGAUCGACAGAGUUGCCACGUUUCAUAAUUUUGCGUCUAUUAUGGGUAAACCAGAUUAGCUUAGCGUCCAAAUUUUGCGCCAUGAGAAUUUUGCGUUUUAGAAGUUACCAGACGAAUAUUCAAACGCUUUUUGCGCAAUAUGAAUAAGAAAAUUGGGUUGUGGAAGUUACCAGAUGAAAUUUCAAACUUUUGUUGCGCAUUAUGAAUAAAAAGAACGUACUAGCGAGCGAAUUUUUGCGCAUUCUGUACUAUACGUCCAUAUGCGGAAGGCUAUCAAGUUUUCAUCGAUAUCAAGUUGAUUUAAGCGAUUGCGGAUAUUGAAGGACGUUUCCUGAACGAUUGCGCCACAUGAUGUCCUUCCAUGAUAGGUCUUGAGGAGUUGAGUAUGCCAUAUAAGAGUAUGAGAUAUGGACUUCUGAAGAAGAAUACCGAAAUUCGAGAUAUACUGAUACAGGCCUCGUGGAGUUGAGUGAAAUACAUGAAUUAAUUACUGAAAACUGAGAAAUCUGUGUUUACAAUACAUAAAUAACAAUAAAGAAUUAGUUAUAAGUCA